CAGCGCACUCCGGGGUCGGUGUAAUUCCGAACCGGCGGUAUAGUCCGCGACCCGUCCGCAGCCAGCGGCCGGUUGACCAGGUGAGAUUCCUGGACCGACGGUGAAAGUCCGGAUGGGAGGCAGUGCGCGG
rnacentral:ncRNA from 2 species